rnacentral:snRNA from 1 species
UACCCCUUCGGGGACAUCCGAUAAAAUUGGAAUGACACAGAGAAGAUUAGCAUGGCUCUGUGCAAUUGGAAUGACACAGAAAAGACUAAUGUGGACUCUGCAAAAGGAUGUCUAUGUACAAAUCGAGAAAUGAUCCAAAUUAUU